CGGAGGAAAAGAAACUAACCAGGAUUCCCUCAGUAGCGGCGAGCGAAGCGGGAAAAGCCCAAACUGAAAAGCCUGCUUGCAGGCGUUGUAGUUGAGCGUUCUUGAGGUGUCAGUACAGGAAAGUCGCAUGGAAAUGCGUACCGUGGAGGGUGAAAGUCCCGUCCAUCCUGCACAAGACUCUCUCGUACAAGAGCGUUUCUGACGAGUCGGGUAGCUUGGGAAUGCUGCUCUAAUUGGUGGUAAAUCUCAUCAAAGGCUAAAUACUGGUGGGAGACCGAUAGCGAACAAGUACCGUGAGGGAAAGAUCAAAAGCACUUUGAAAAGAGAGUGAAAAGAACCUGAAACCGUUACGGGGGAAGCGGAUUGCGUCGGAUUGAUGGGUAUUUGUGUGUUCAGCCUARUUUCGGUUAGGUGCAUUCAUGCAAGUGCUUAUUCGCCAUGGGUUUUUGGCGGUUGAUUUUGAACCGCUAGAGGCUGAGGGCUCCAUUUUAUAUGUUGAGGAUGGCGAAGCGACGGCGCGAUACGACCCGUCUUGAAACACGGACCAAGGAGUCUAGCGCGACUGCGAGUCAAAGGGUGAAUAUUAAGCCUGUGGGCGCAGUGAAAGCGAUUAAUUUUAUAAAAAUUGUCAAUUUGGGGCGUCAUACGAUCGUUGAUUGUAGGUACGACCUUGAGCAGUUGCGCUGGGACCCGAAAGAUGGUGAACUAUGCUUGAGUAGGGCGAAGCCAGAGGAAACUCUGGUGGAGGCUCGUAGCGGUGCUGACGUGCAAAUCGCUCGUCGAACUUGAGUAUAGGGGCGAAAGACUAAUCGAACCAUCUAGUAGCUGGUUCCCUCCGAAGUUUCUCUCAGGAUAGCGGGCCGAUUUUUUGUUGUUUUGUGCGGUAAAGCGAAUGAUUAGCGCACUCGGGGGCUUUUAGCCUUCGGGCGAUUCUCAAACUUUCAAUGCGCAAGGGUGCCGGUGCUUUGUUGAGCGGUACCGAUAAAAACGUCGGCCCUGUGGGCCAAUUUUGGUAAGCAGAACUGGCGAUACGGGAUGAACCGUAAGUGUGGUUAAGGCGCCAAAAUACUCGCUUAUAGAUCCCACAAAAGGUGUUGAUUCAUCGAGACAGCAGGACGGUGGCCAUGGAAGUCGGAAUCCGCUAAGGAGUGUGUAACAACUCACCUGCCGAAUGAAUUAGCCCUGAAAAUGGAUGGCGCUUAAGCGGGUUGCCGACACCACGCCGUUUGGUCUAAAAUUAUUUGAUCCAAAUGAGUAGGAGGGCGUGGCGGUUGUAUCGAAGCAUGUGUGCGAACACGUGUGGAACAGCCGCUAGUGCAGAUCUUGGUGGUAGUAGCAAAUAUUCAAGUGAGAUCCUUGAAGGGCGAAGCGGGGAAGGGUUCCACGCGAACAUUGAUUGGGCGUGGGUGAGUCGUUCCUAAGCCGAGUGGCAAUUGCUAAGUAAACGGCGAAAGGGAAGCAGGUUGAAAUUCCUGCACACGGAUGUGGAGGCGGCGACGCCAUUGUGAGGUGAUUACGUUGGCAGUGGCGCUGGGCAGAGUUGUCUUUUCUGUUUAACCAGCUUGUGUGCGUUGUGUGGAAUCCGCUUGUCGGGAGAAACACGCGUGUGCGGGUAGAGCGCCGGGACUUUUCCGGCGUCCAGCUCGCCACUGACAGCCCUUGAAACAUUACCUGCUGAGAUUAAUUCUUCGGAGUUUAUCAAUAAUAAUCCACGCCGUGGCGUACCGAUCACCGCAUCAGGUCCCCAAGGUGAACAGCCUCUGUCCAGUAUGAAUAAUGCAGGUAAGGGAAGUCGGCAAAUUGGACCCGUAACUUUGGGAAAAGGGUUGGCUCUAGUGCUGCGUGGGACUGGUUGUUUGUUGUUGGCGGUAUUUCUUUGAGAUUUCUGUGUGUGGUUUCUGGCGAUUGUUGGAGGGCUGGUGAAAGGGAGGGGAGGGGUCUUCGGAUUUCUUUUUUUUUCUGAUCCUUUCUGAAGGCAUGACCUGGUUUCUGCGCCGUUAUUUUGAAGGUGCUGCUGCGGCAGACGACGCCCACGGCAUGCAGCAAACUAGAACUGCAACGGGCAAAGGGAAUCCGACUGUUUAAUUAAAACAAAGCAUUGCGAGGGCCGUGACCGGUGAUGACGCAAUGUGAUUUCUGCUCAGUGCUCUGAAUGUCAAAGUGAAGAGAUUCAAUCAAGCGCGGGUAAACAGCGGGAGUAACUAUGACUCUCUUAAGGUAGCCAAAUGCCUCGUCAUCUAAUUAGUGACGCGCAUGAAUGGAUUAACGAGAUUCCUACUGUCCCUAUCUGCUUCUAGCGAAACCACAGCCGAGGGAACGGGCUCGGCGAAAUCGGCGGGGAAAGAAGACCCUGUUGAGCUUGACUCUAUUCUAAUUUUGUGAAGCAAGUUGGGAGGUGUAGCAUAGGUGGGAGUGUUGCUUCGUGCUCACGUCCGUGAAAUACCACUACUCCCAGUCUUGCUUUACUUACUGGGUUGGUGUGGAUGGGUCUUUGUGUUAAAAGAUUCUUUUUAGAACCAAUACUUCUGUUUUUAUGGGGGUAGACCACGGUCCAGGACAGAUUUAGGAGGGGAGUUUGGCUGGGGCGGCACAUCUUCUACAAGACAACGAAGGUGUCCAAAGAUAAGCUCAGUGAGAACAGAAAUCUCACGUAGCGCAAAAGGGUAAAAGCUUGUUUGAUUUUGAUUUUCAGUGCGAGUCGAAAACGCGAAAGCGUGGCCUAUCGAUCCUUUCACGAUUCGAGAUUUGAAGCGAGAGGUGUCAGAAAAGUUACCACAGGGAUAACUGGCUUGUGGCGGCCAAGCGUUCAUAGCGACGUCGCUUUUUGAUCCU
rnacentral:rRNA from 2 species